UGGCCAUGAUGUGCUCCUUCCUGCAGAAAGCAAGCAAUACCAACACUAGCCCAGAUGUCAGUGACCAACGUGUCAUGGCGAGGUGCCAGAAUGAGCACUGCCUCCUUUUCAGCAUACUGGCAUUAAGGCAUUUCUUUGUGGAACAGAUGUGUUCACCAAGGUAAUUACUUAGGAACAGAUGUCCUUUUUCAAAUCCAUGUCCUGGAUUUUCCAACCCAGGCAGAGCCAGUGGCUCCCAGCCAGCUGAGAAAGCCAAUCUACAGCACCUAGGAAGCACAAUCUACAUCACAGCACUGUGCCUUUUGGGCCUCUUAACAUGAGUUUGCCUGGAGAAGCAGGCACUGGAGCUCUAUCAUCUUCAUGGUAAAAGAAUCAAUCUCUCUUCAGCAUGGGAACAGACUGGAAAAAUCACUUUAACCAGGAAAUAUCCUGUUCUGUGUCA